rnacentral:rRNA from 1 species
AGGCAGCAGUGGGGAAUAUUGGACAAUGGGGGGAACCCUGAUCCAGCGACGCCGCGUGAGUGAAGAAGUAUUUCGGUAUGUAAAGCUCUAUCAGCAGGGAAGAAAGAAAUGACGGUACCUGACUAAGAAGCCCCGGCUAACUACGUGCC